AUGAAAGGGGCUCAGGAUAGGAAGCAGAAGAAGAAGCAGGACCUGCAGGUGCUGGCGCCCUUCCCCGGCUGCCUCGGCAGGGUCAUCAACAUGUUCGACCUCAGCAACGGCGUCGUCGCCACCAAGAUGCUCACCGACAAGGCGCACCGAGACGUUUCUCCGGCUGGCAAGGACCGGAGCGGCAGUUUCAAGAUGGCGAGUAAUCAGUUUCCGGCUCAGAUGGAAGAUAAACAUAGAGACAGUCAGCAAAGAAGGAGCUCUCCAACGAAAAGAUCAAACUCACCCACCAACAGAUCUGGCGUGUCACCCGUCAAGAUGCUCAUGGAGCAGGACAUGUGGAGAGAAGGGGUGCCCGACGACGAGCCUCUCAAUGUUGUUGCCAGAUUGAUGGGUCUAAACGACGCUCCAGCCGUCCGCCAGUCUGAUUUGGCAUCAGGAAGAAGGUUCAGUAUGGAAGACGACGGCCGAAAUGUCAAGCCAAAGAAGGAAAGCAAAUGCCACCAGAACCAGAAGGCAGGAACACGGCAUGAGGAGACAUGGAGCAGUUUACGUGAUCAGCCUUCGAAGAUCGAUAGCAGCAAGAACAGACACCAAGGAAAGGAUCCUUCUUGCGAGAGGAGAAUGUCCCUUGUCCGCGAGAAGUUUGCUGAAGCAAAACGUCUGGCUACGGACGAGAAGCUUCUCCAUUCAAAGGAGUUCCAAGAAGCGCUGCAGUUUCUGAGCUCAAAUAAAGACUUGUUCCUGAAGUUCCUUGAUGAGCCAACUCCGCUGUUAUCAAACAACCAUUAUGGGUUCGAACCUGUUGCACCACCUUCAGAAAUAAAGCAGAUAACCAUACUGAAGCCAUCAGAAUCAGUGAAGAGAAAGGGCAACAUUCAUGCCGGGAGGCAGCUAUAUUCAGAGGGAAAUGAAGCUGAAGGCAACAGAUGCUGGCGCCACCAGAGCUUAAAUGUUAACCCGACAAAUUCAACUUUGUCCGAACCAACAAGAAUUGUGGUACUAAAGCCAGGGCUUCCAAAGUCUCAUGAAGAUACGAUCCCAGUGUCCUCGUUAGAAUCAUCAACAGAGGCAGAUAGUGAAGACGAUAGUGUGAUGGCAGUUGAUGAAACAGUAUCCUCGAGAAGGCUGGCCAAGGAGAUCACUUGGCAGAUGAGGAUGCGCUUAAAAGAUAGCCAGGAUGAAGAUAGUUCGCUCUCUUAUGAAUACCAUGAUACUUACAAUGAAAAUAGCUCCUUUAGUAAGUCAGAGGUUGAAACCGCUAAAGAAGUGUCCGGUGAAAUAAGUGAGGAUCUGGAGUUUGGUACUCCUACUUCUGGCCGUUCCUGGGAUUUCCUGAGCAGGAGUGACAGCCCUUAUUCUGCAUCAUGCUCCAGUCAGGCAUCCAAUCGACGUGAACCGUCGGUGGUUAAGGAAGCCAAAAGGCGGAUCUUGGAGAGAUGGUCGGUGGUAUCGUCAACUGUUAGUGGCGAGGAAGAAAGGGGAGCACGUAGAAGUGUGGGCACACUAGGUGAGAUGCUCACAAUCCCUGAAGGGAAAAAAGAUCAGGAGGAGUGUGGGGGAAUAACAUUAGAGAGCAGAUCGCCUGAGCUGGAUACCGCAGAUCCUUUCUCAUGUUUGCCAAGGUCUCGGUCUCUUCCAGUUUCUUUAUCUUAUGGAGGCAGGGAGUCGAACAGGGUUGCAGUUGGUUCUCAGGAAGCUGACAAUGAAAAAAGUAGGAAGUCAUCAUCAUUUAGGGAAAGAGUUUCCAGCCUGUUCUCUAAAAACAAGAAAUCAGCUCGGGAGAAGUUAGGUCCACCUGGAGUUUUGUCUGCUAAUAAUCCACUCAAGAAUGGAAGUGCUGUGACUAUUGGUGAUGGCAGUGAAGCAUCUAGCUAUUUUACACUGGACAAUCCACAGAGACUUACUUUGCUUGAUGAUGAUGAGAAUGCUGUGCAAAGACACGUGGCUGGUUCUUGUCACACUAAUAAUGUGGCCAGCAUCCCUGCCAAGGGUGCUUCUCCUUUGCCAAGUCUUGGUGUCCCAGGAUUCUUUGGCGAGUCUCAAGACCAACCAAGCCCUGUGUCUGUACUGGACCCGGAUGGACCGUUUCUCUGUGAUAAUAAUAGGAGGCUACUCUACUCAACUGAAAAUUUCAUCACUGCAUCCCCACAAAUCGUGUCCAGGUCUCCACUUAUCGGAUCAUUUUCAAGAUCCUUGUCAUGGGAAGAGCCCCCAUCGGAAGUCAUGUCGCCAAAUUCUUUGAGACUAGCAAGGCUUUUCUCCAAGGCUGAUGACGAUCAAGACUCGUUGACGAUUAUCCAGAAGAUAGUCUCCUCAGCUGGCAUGGAUAGAAAAAAUUGCGUAUUAGCCAGCCCUCUGGACCUGAAGUUGCUUGAGAAGUUGUCGGAUCACCAAGCAGUGGAGAUCAAGUCGAGGGAAAGGCGGUCGAAGGAGAGGCUUCUCUUCGAUGCUGUCAACGUGGCGCUCACAGAGCUCACUUGGACAGCAGAACUGUCUGCAUACCCAUGGGGUCGGACAUGUCGUUCGCAACGAAAAGAUCAAGAUGAUGAUUCCUCCUGUAACUCCGCCGCCGAUGAAAUUUGGCGGGUCAUAAGGAACUGGUCGAUACUCGACAAGUAUCCGCCCGGCGAAGUCAUUGAGAGGAACCUUCUGCUGGAGAUGAUCCUCAAGAGGGAGGUGGUGGAGACCGCCACCGCUGACACGACACGGCUGGAGACGUUUGAGGUCUGCGCCAUGGUUUGCACGGUGGUUUUGGAGGACCUGCUUGAGGAGGCCCUUGUAGAUUUGACUAACAGCACCUAG
rnacentral:rRNA from 1 species